rnacentral:rRNA from 1 species
GAUGAACGCUGGCGGCGUGCCUAAUACAUGCAAGUCGAGCGAACAGACGAGGAGCAUGCUCCUCUGACGUUAGCGGCGGACGGGUGAGUAACGCGUGGAUAACCUACCUAUAAGACUGGGAUAACUUCGGGAAACCGGAGCUAAUACCGGAUAAUAUAUUGAACCGCAUGGUUCAAUAGUGAAAGACGGUUUUGCUGUCACUUAUAGAUGGAUCCGCGCCGCAUUAGCUAGUUGGUAAGGUAACGGCUUACCAAGGCAACGAUGCGUAGCCGACCUGAGAGGGUGAUCGGCCACACUGGAACUGAGACACGGUCCAGACUCCUACGGGAGGCAGCAGUAGGGAAUCUUCCGCAAUGGGCGAAAGCCUGACGGAGCAACGCCGCGUGAGUGAUGAAGGUCUUCGGAUCGUAAAACUCUGUUAUUAGGGAAGAACAAAUGUGUAAGUAACUAUGCACGUCUUGACGGUACCUAAUCAGAAAGCCACGGCUAACUACGUG